rnacentral:rRNA from 1 species
GAUGAACGCUGGCGGCGUGCCUAAUACAUGCAAGUCGAGCGAAUGGAUUAAGAGCUUGCUCUUAUGAAGUUAGCGGCGGACGGGUGAGUAACACGUGGGUAACCUGCCCAUAAGACUGGGAUAACUCCGGGAAACCGGGGCUAAUACCGGAUAACAUUUUGAACCGCAUGUUUCGAAAUUGAAAGGCGGCGUCGGCUGUCACUUAUGGAUGGACCCGCGUCGCAUUAGCUAGUUGGUGAGGUAACGGCUCACCAAGGCAACGAUGCGUAGCCGACCUGAGAGGGUGAUCGGCCACACUGGGACUGAGACACGGCCCAGACUCCUACGGGAGGCAGCAGUAGGGAAUCUUCCGCAAUGGACGAAAGUCUGACGGAGCAACGCCGCGUGAGUGAUGAAGGCUUUCGGGUCGUAAAACUCUGUUGUUAGGGAAGAACAAGUGCUAGUUGAAUAAGCUGGCACCUUGACGGUACCUAACCAGAAAGCCACGGCUAACUACGUGCCAGCCGCCGCGGUAA